rnacentral:rRNA from 1 species
UGAAACAUCUAAGUACCUGGAGGAAGAGAAAGAAAAAUCGAUUUCCUGAGUAGCGGCGAGCGAAACGGAAAGAGCCCAAACCAAGAAGCUUGCUUCUUGGGGUUGUAGGACACUCUAUACGGAGUUACAAAAGAAAGUUAUAAAUGAAGCGGUCUGGAAAGGCCCGCCAAAGACGGUAACAGCCCGGUAGUUGAAAUGGCUUUCCCUCCAGAGUGGAUCCUGAGUACGGCGGAACACGUGAAAUUCCGUCGGAAUCCGGGAGGACCAUCUCCCAAGGCUAAAUACUCCCUAGUGACCGAUAGUGAACCAGUACCGUGAGGGAAAGGUGAAAAGCACCCCGGAAGGGGAGUGAAACAGUUCCUGAAACCGUGUGCCUACAAGUAGUUAGAGCCCGUUAAUGGGUGAUAGCGUGCCUUUUGUAGAAUGAACCGGCGAGUUACGAUUUGUUGCAAGGUUAAGCGGAAAAAGCGGAGCCGUAGCGAAAGCGAGUCUGAAUAGGGCGCAUAAGUAACAGGUCGUAGACCCGAAACCAGGUGAUCUACCCAUGUCCAGGAUGAAGGUAAGGUAAUACUUACUGGAGGUCCGAACCCACGCACGUUGAAAAGUGCGGGGAUGAGGUGUGGGUAGCGGAGAAAUUCCAAUCGAACUUGGAGAUAGCUGGUUCUCUCCGAAAUAGCUUUAGGGCUAGCCUCGAGGUAAAGAGUCAUGGAGGUAGAGCACUGUUUGGACUAGGGGCCCUUCUCGGGUUACCGAAUUCAGAUAAACUCCGAAUGCCAUGUACUUAUACUCGGGAGUCAGACUGCGAGUGAUAAGAUCCGUAGUCGAAAGGGAAACAGCCCAGACCACCAGUUAAGGUCCCCAAAUAUAUGUUAAGUGGAAAAGGAUGUGGGGUUGCUUAGACAACCAGGAUGUUGGCUUAGAAGCAGCCACCAUUGAAAGAGUGCGUAAUAGCUCACUGGUCGAGUGACCCCGCGCCGAAAAUGUACCGGGGCUAAACAUAUUACC